CCUACGGGUGGCAGCAGUGAGGAAUAUUGGUCAAUGGACGAGAGUCUGAACCAGCCAAGUAGCGUGAAGGAUGACUGCCCUAUGGGUUGUAAACUUCUUUUAUAUGGGAGUAAAAUGUUCCACGUGUGGGAUGUUGUAUGUACCAUAUGAAUAAGGAUCGGCUAACUCCGUGCCAGCCGCCGCGGUAAUACGGAGGAUCCGAGCGUUAUCCGGAUUUAUUGGGUUUAAAGGGAGCGUAGAUGGGUUGUUAAGUCAGUUGUGAAAGUUUGCGGCUCAACCGUAAAAUUGCAAUUGAUACUGGCAGUCUUGAGUACAGUUGAGGUAGGCGGAAUUCGUGGUGUAGCGGUGAAAUGCUUAGAUAUCACGAAGAACCCCGAUUGCGAAGGCAGCUUACUAAUCUGUGACUGACAUUGAUGCUCGAAAGUGUGGGUAUCAAACAGGAUUAGAUACCCUGGUAGUC
rnacentral:rRNA from 1 species